rnacentral:rRNA from 1 species
GAUGAGCGCUGGCGGCGUGCCUAAUACAUGCAAGUCGAGCGAACAGAUGAGGAGCUUGCUCCUCUGACGUUAGCGGCGGACGGGUGAGUAACACGUGGAUAACCUACCUAUAAGACUGGGAUAACUUCGGGAAACCGGAGCUAAUACCGGAUAAUAUAUUGAACCGCAUGGUUCAAUAGUGAAAGACGGUUUUGCUGUCACUUAUAGAUGGAUCCGCGCCGCAUUAGCUAGUUGGUAAGGUAACGGCUUACCAAGGCAACGAUGCGUAGCCGACCUGAGAGGGUGAUCGGCCACACUGGAACUGAGACACGGUCCAGACUCCUACGGGAGGCAGCAGUAGGGAAUCUUCCGCAAUGGGCGAAAGCCUGACGGAGCAACGCCGCGUGAGUGAUGAAGGUCUUCGGAUCGUAAAACUCUGUUAUUAGGGAAGAACAAAUGUGUAAGUAACUAUGCACGUCUGGACGGUACCUAAUCAGAAAGCCACGGCUAACUACGU